AAGGAGUAUAACAUAUGUGCAAGUUAUUGGGAGAUAAAACUAAUAGCGUAAUUAACUUGACUAAUAAUGGUAUUUAUGCCUCUAACUGGAACGUACCUUGAGCAUAUAUGCUGUGACCUGAAAGAUGGUGAACUAUACUUGAUCAGGUUGAAGUCAGGGGAAACCCUGAUGGAAGACCGAAACAGUUCUGACGUGCAAAUCAAUUGUCAGAAUUGAGUAUAGGGGCGAAAGACCAAUCGAACCAUCUAGUAGCUGGUUCCUUCCGAAGUUUCCCUCAGGAUAGCUGGUGCAUUUUAAUGUUAUAUAAAAUAAUCUUAUCUGGUAAAGCGAAUGAUUAGAGGCCUUAGGGUCGAAACGAUUGUUCGGAGCAGAACCCAGCCGAUUAGCUGCUUGCCAAAUAGCACCUAAUUCUUGGCCCUCAGCCGCUUAUUUUGUUUGUUACUUAUGUCUAUGUCACUCAUUUGUUUGUUGAAGCUUUGCGCUUGCUUGCCCUGCUAAACGCUCUCUGCCAGCUCGCUCUUCGCUAUCUCCGCUUUGCGUCUGCCUACCGACGUCGGCCGAGCGAAGCUGCGCUCAGCGAUCGGAGCGGCAAUGUAAAGGGCUGGCAAGCCACACUUGCAAUUUGGAUGUCACGCAUUAAAGAACAUAUCGCAAUUUUAUUUCUGCGCCGAGUUUUAUUUAAUUGAAAUAAUUAGUCGGCCGAUUGGGGAUAAAAAACAUUAUCUCCACAACGAUCUUAACCUAUUCUCAAACUUUAAAUGGGUAAGAACCUUAACUUUCUUGAUAUGAAGUUUAAGGUUAUGAUAUAAUGUGCCCAGUGGGCCACUUUUGGUAAGCAGAACUGGCGCUGUGGGAUGAACCAAACGUAAUGUUACGGUGCCCAAAUUAACAACUCAUGCAAAAACCAUGAAAGGCGUUGGUUGCUUAAAACAGCAGGACGGUGAUCAUGGAAGUCGAAAUCCGCUAAGGAGUGUGUAACAACUCACCUGCCGAAGCAACUAGCCCUUAAAAUGGAUGGCGCUUAAGUUGUAUACCUAUACAUUACCGCUAAAGUAGAUGAUUUAUAUUACUUGUGAUAUAAAUUUUGAAACUUUAGUGAGUAGGAAGGUACAAUGUUAUUUAUUUAUUUAUUAAAUUAACAAAUUAUCUGUUAAUAAUGGUACUU
rnacentral:ncRNA from 1 species